UGCUGCGUGAGGCCCCGGUUUGUGGGAGAAGCCGAAAAUGGGGAUCUUCCCCCCCACAAUGAGAAGGGGAAGGGGGAAAAAAAAGGGGAAAAAGGGGCUCUUCCCACAAAACUCAUGGUGUCUGUGGCUGGCUGUGGCCAGGAUUUGCCCCCUUUCAAUUGAUGGACACAAGCCACUGCCAACACAGGAGCGGAGGAGGGAAAGGGCAACUUCCUCCUCAAAAGGUUCCUCUGCAGAUUUCUUAUUUGACUGGAGAGAUUGUGCAAUAGUGACCUCCUAGUUAACACAGUAUGGAGAACUUGCCCUGAUGCUCCUGGGCUACUGGAACCAGAUUUAGACUUCUGUAACAAUGUAAAAGAUGUUUCUAAACUCAUCAAACAAGUCUGUGAAUACCAAGUAACCUUUGCUUUUAAUCUUAAGAGGCAGAGGGCAUUUAAUGAAAUUUGUUUAUGUUGAUCCAGUAGCACAACAUUAAAAAACCUGUUCUUGUAAAGCA